rnacentral:rRNA from 1 species
GAAGGGUCGUCCGCCCUGGGUAAGUCUGGGCCUAAGGUGAGGCCGAGAGGCGUAGCUGAUGGAUAUCUGGUGUAUAUUCCAGAACUAGUAUAAUGACUGAUGGAGUGACGAAGAAGGCUAGGAUCCGAUUCUUAGUGGAUUGAAUACGAGAUAUCAAGAGGGGAUGUAGGCAAAUCCGCGUCUAGAAAUCAAGAUAUGACAGGUAAAGGAUAACGAAGUCAAGCUUCCAAGAAAAGCUUCUAGGGUUAAUCAUUAUACUACCAGUACCGUAAACCGACACAGGUGGGUAGGAAGAGAAUUCUAAGACGCGCGAGAAAACCCUUGUUAAGGAACUCUGCAAGUUGGCCCCGUAAGUUCGCAAUAAGGGGAGCUCAUGUAAAAGUGAGCCACAGAAAAGAAGCCCAAGCAACUGUUUAACAAAAACACAGGUUUAUGCAAAACCGUAAGGUGAAGUAUAUGAGCUGACACCUGCCCGGUGCUGGAAGGUUAAAAGGAGAGGUUAGAGCAAUCGAAGCCUUGAAUUGAAGCCCCAGUAAACGGCGGCCGUAACUAUAACGGUCCUAAGGUAGCGAAAUUCCUUGUCAGGUAAGUUCUGACCCGCACGAAAGGUGUAAUGUCUUUGGGCACUGUCUCAACAGGGGACUCGGUGAAAUCAAACUGCCGGUGAAAAUGCCGGCUACCCGCGAUUAGACGGAAAGACCCCAUGGAGCUUUACUGUAGGUUGAUAUUGAUAUUUGGUAUGUAAUGUACAGGAUAGGUGGGAGACUAUGAAGCUAGGACGUUAGUCUUGGUGGAGUCGACGUUGGGAUACCACCCUUUGCCUAUCGAGUAUCUAACUAGUGUAAGUGGAUUACAAAGGACAGUGUCAGUUGGGCAGUUUGACUGGGGCGGUCGCCUCCUAAAGAGUAACGGAGGCGCUCGAAGGUUCCCUCAGAAUGGUUGGAAAUCAUUCGCAGAGUGUAAACGCAGAAGGGGGCUUGACUGCAAGACAAACAAGUCGAGCAGGGACGAAAGUCGGAGUUAGUGAUCUUACGGUACCGCGUGGAAGGGCCGUGACUCAACGGAUAAAAGCUACCCUGGGGAUAACAGGCUGAUCACGCCCAAGCGUUCACAGCGACGGCGUGGUUUGGCACCUCGAUGUCGGCUCGUCGCAUCCUGGAGGUGGAUAAGCUUCCAAGGGUUGGGCUGUUCGCCCAUUAAAGCGGCACGCGAGCUGGGUUCAAAACGUCGUGAGACAGUUUGGUCCCUAUCUGUCGUGGGCGUUGGAAAUUUGAAGAGAGCUGUCCUUAGUACGAGAGGACCGGGAUGGACAUACCACUGGUGUACCAGUUAGCCUGCCAGGGCUAUAAGCUGGGUAGCUACGUAUGGAACGGAUAAACGCUGAAAGCAUCUAAGCGUGAAGCCUCCUCUAAGAUUAGAUUUCCCACAGAAAUGGUAAGACCCCUUAUAGACUAUAAGGUUGAUAGGCUAGGUGUGGAAGCGCAGUGAUGCGUGGAGCUGACUAGUACUAAUAGGUCGAGGACUUAAUC